UACCACAAAGUACGACUUUAUAAUGAAUCCCUGUUCUAGAAUUUCUGUUUGAUCUAACAAUUUUAUCUACAGGUGCUUACCGUAAAAAUAAUACCGUAAAGUAAAAUUAAAAUGUCUAUAAAUAACUCAAAAAUAUUUUAUGCCUAUAAACAAUUUUUUGAUCAGAAGUCUUGAUCCAAUAUUAAAUUUUUGGGAUGGAUUUUGGUAUAAUAU